rnacentral:misc_RNA from 1 species
GGUUAAUAACACAAGAAAACAGUCGCCGUCAAAAGAGAGAAAAGGCGAGAAACAAAAGGUCAAUGAAGAGAUCACCGGUUCCACAUCUCUGACAAGUGGAUGCUCCUAUCACUUGUAACUCCGUUCCUCCGUUGUCAUCUUCUUUCCUUUGCCAAAAAUAAAGUUUAAACUAAAGCAAGAAAAGCCACCAACCCAAAACCACUUUCUCUCCUCCAUUAUUUUUCCACUCGCGAAACCCACUUUCUGCCCUAUAAAAUCCCAAUCAAACCCAUCAUUAUUUCACUCAAAAGCUUUCUUUACCGGGAAAGUGAGUGGGAGAGAGAGUGCGAGAAAGGUUAGAUCAAGAGAAAAAAAAAAUUAUAUAUAAGAGUUAAGAAUAGAAUAGAAAUUAGAAUUUUGCUGUAUGUCAGUGAAAUACUACAGUGACAAUUACUACGGUGGAUACGGUGAAGUUGCUAACCCUUUACAAUGGCCACAGCUCAGGAAAAGGCGACGCCUUCUUGUUGCAGUUCCUCCAACUCUUCCUCUGCUGCCGCUGCUGCUGCAACUAAGGUUUUGCAGGAUUGGCGCGUUACCACUGUAUCUGACUCGCCACAGGAUCCAAUCACCAAGAGAACCACCAUGUCAUCCCUGAUCCGCCCUGUUGAGUCCCUCACUGAUCCUUCUCCGCCUAACCCCACUUCUGCUAAAGGAAUCCCGAUGAUGGCAAGGGCACAAACCAGCCACCCUUUGGACACUUUAACGGCUGCUGAAAUUUCUGUUGCAGUGGCAACUGUCAGGGCAGCUGGAGCAACUCCUGAGGUUAAUUACAGCUAUUUUUAUCUUGAAUUCUGGCUUAUAAUUGGGUAAAUUGUGUUUACCUUCCUGAGGUAUCCUCAAAUUGUACAAACAUCUUUCUGUUUUGAAAAAUACAAAGAAACCACAAAAUAACUUUCACUACCUGUUUUGUUGCUUUAUAGGUAGUAGGUUAAUGUUAAAUAGCAGUAAUAGCUUACUGGUGGAUUUCUGUGUACUUUAUAUUUUCAAGAUACAUGGGAUUUUUGUGAAAUUUAAAGAUACCUCAAGCUGGUAUGUGAACUUUGUCCCUUAUAAUUUAGAAAUUUAUUGAUGGAAGAAAUGAAGGGGUUACUUUAUUUUCAGGUGAGAGAUAGCAUGCGCUUUGUUGAAGUAGUUUUACUGGAGCCAGAUAAGCAUGUUGUUGCAUUGGCGGAUGCGUAUUUCUUCCCUCCCUUCCAGCCCUCUUUACUUCCUAGAACUAAAGGUGGGCCUGUAAUUCCCACCAAACUUCCUCCCAGACAAGCAAGGCUUGUUGUUUACAAUAAAAAGUCAAAUGAAACAAGCAUAUGGAUUGUUGAGCUAUCACAAGUGCAUGCUGCAACUCGAGGUGGCCACCACAGAGGCAAAGUCAUUUCAUCCAAAGUUGUUCCAAACGUUCAGCCUCCUAUGGAUGCUAUGGAAUAUGCUGAAUGUGAAGCUGUAGUGAAAGCAUUCCCUCCAUUCCAGGAGGCAAUGAAAAAGAGGGGUAUUGAGGAUAUGGAUCUUGUAAUGGUGGACCCCUGGUGUGUUGGAUAUCACAGUGAAGCUGAUGCUCCUAGCCGCAGGCUUGCUAAACCUCUUAUCUUCUGCAGAACCGAGAGUGACUGUCCAAUUGAAAAUGGUUAUGCUCGUCCAGUUGAAGGAAUCCACGUUCUUGUUGAUAUGCAAAACAUGGUAGUGAUUGAAUUUGAUGACCGUAAACUUGUUCCCCUACCACCAGCUGAUCCCUUAAGAAAUUAUACUCCUGGUGAAUCUCGAGGAGGUGUUGAUAGAAGUGAUGUGAAACCUCUACAGAUCAUUCAGCCUGAAGGCCCAAGCUUUCGUGUUAAUGGACACUUUGUUCAGUGGCAGAAGUGGAAUUUUCGUAUUGGUUUCACGCCCAGAGAGGGUUUAGUUAUCUAUUCUGUAGCAUAUGUUGAUGGUAGUCGAGGUCGGAGACCUGUGGCCCACAGGUUAAGUUUUGUUGAGAUGGUGGUUCCCUAUGGAGAUCCAAAUGAUCCGCAUUAUAGGAAAAAUGCAUUUGAUGCAGGGGAAGACGGCUUGGGUAAAAAUGCACAUUCUCUUAAGAAGAAUUGUGAUUGUUUGGGCUUCAUCAAGUACUUUGAUGCACACUUCACAAAUUUCACUGGAGGUGUUGAAACAAUUGAGAACUGUGUUUGUUUGCAUGAAGAGGAUCAUGGUAUCUUAUGGAAGCAUCAGGAUUGGAGAACAGGAUUACCAGAAGUCCGACGUUCUAGAAGGCUGUCAGUUUCUUUUAUAUGCACUGUGGCUAAUUAUGAGUAUGGAUUUUUCUGGCAUUUUUAUCAGGAUGGGAAAAUUGAAGCUGAGGUUAAACUCACUGGAAUUCUUAGCUUAGGAGCACUGCAACCUGGGGAAAUACGGAAAUAUGGUACAACAAUUGCUCCUGGAUUAUAUGCACCUGUCCAUCAACACUUUUUUGUGGCACGUAUGGAUAUGGCAGUUGAUUGUAAGCCUGGCGAAACAUUCAAUCAGGUUGUUGAGGUGAAUGUAAAAGUUGAAGAGCCAGGAAAGGAUAAUGUGCAUAAUAAUGCAUUCUAUGCUGAAGAGGAACUGCUCAGAUCUGAAUUGCAAGCAAUGCGUGAUUGCAAUCCAUUAACUGCUCGCCAUUGGAUUAUCAGGAACACAAGAACUGUCAACCGGACUGGGCAGCUUACAGGUUACAAGUUAGUACCUGGUUCAAAUUGUUUACCACUGGCUGGUUCAGAGGCAAAAUUCUUAAGAAGAGCUGCUUUCUUGAAACAUAAUCUUUGGGUAACACCUUACGCACGUGAUGAAAUGUAUCCUGGAGGAGAGUUUCCUAAUCAAAAUCCUCGUGUUGGAGAGGGAUUGGCUACUUGGGUGAAGCAAAAUCGAUCCCUUGAAGAAACUAACAUAGUUCUAUGGUAUGUAUUUGGAGUGACGCACAUUCCUCGAUUGGAAGACUGGCCUGUCAUGCCAGUGGAUCGCAUUGGUUUUAUGCUAAUGCCACAUGGGUUUUUUAACUGCUCACCGGCUGUGGACGUUCCUCCAAGUUCAAGUGAUUUGGAUCUCAAGGACAAUGGAAUGACAGCAAAGCCUAUCCAGAAUGGACUAUUGGCUAAGCUCUAGUGUACUCUUCCUUGAAUAAUUGAAGCCAUAGGCCCAAAUUCCAGGAAAUGCUAUUUGAUUAAUCUACGUACUAUAUUAUUUGGAAUGUUUCUUUUGUUAUGAUCACGUUAUCAAACUGUCUAUUAUGGUGUUGUUGUAACUCUAUCUUAACGAAGUACAUUUGUGUUGUUAUAGGCAAAUGUCUUUGUUGAUGUACCUUUUGAAUUGUCAUGUCCCCAGAUAGAUGCUUCAUGUAAGGGGAAUACAUUCUGCUGCUGCAGGCCGAACCGGUCGGUCGCAAAGUUUGUUUCUAGAAGAUUCUAAAUGACUGGAAUCCAGCUUCAUUAUGAAUGUGAAAUCAUAAUAGAAUAAAAUAUCUGAAACAUUAUUAUGUGAUGAUCCUUUUUCUUAGUAUGGUUGAAGUUGGGUGAAGCAGGAUGUCCAUCUGUCA